AUGGAUGUGUGUCGUGGCGUCGGCGAAAGCUUGGUCGGAUAUAGCGACUCCGACCAUGCUGGUGACGUGGACUCCCAGAAGAGCACCUCGGGCAUGUUGUUUCUUCUCGGGGGUAGCCCCGUCAGCUGCCAAUCUAUAAGGGCGAAGGUUGUCGCCGCAUCUUCGUGUGAGGCGGAGUACCUCGCGGUAGCUACAACGGCUUGUCAAGGCAUCUGGCUCGCUCGCCUUCUCCGCGAGAUGCUGAACCAUGACACCGCCCCUGCGCUCAUCUUCGUCGACAACAAGUCAGCAAUUUUACUCUGCAAGUAUCCAGUGCUCCACGACCGCAACAAGCACAUCGAUCUCCGGUAUCACCUCAUACGUGUCUACGUCGAGAAGGGCAAGGUCAUCGUGGAGUUCAUCAGAACUGGUGAGCAGAAGGCCAACAUCCUGACAAAGGCUCUUGGCCGCGACCGGCUCCAAGAACUGCGCGACAAGAUCGGGAUCGUCGAUGUCCAACCCCAGAGAUAG
rnacentral:rRNA from 1 species